AGGACGAACGCUGGCGGUAUGCUUAACACAUGCAAGCGAACGAGACGAGAUGGAAGAAUCCGUUCGGGUGACGGAAAUCUUAGGAAGUGGCGAACGGGUGAGUAACGCGUGGGUAACCUGCCCUAUGGAAAGGAAUAGCCUCGGGAAACUGGGAGUAAUGCCUUAUAAUAUAGUGAAGUCGCAUGGCUUUGCUAUUAAACGCUCCGGUGCCAUAGGACGGACCCGCGUCCCAUUAGCUAGUUGGUGAGAUAACAGCCCACCAAGGCGACGAUGGGUAACCGGUCUGAGAGGGCGAACGGUCACACUGGAACUGAGACACGGUCCAGACUCCUACGGGAGGCAGCAGUGGGGAAUAUUGCGCCAAUGGGGGAAACCCUGACGCAGCAAUACCGCGUGAGUGAAGAAGGUUUUCGGAUCGUAAAGCUCUGUUAUUGGGGAAGAAAAAAGACGGUACCCAAGAAGAAAGUCCCGGCUAACUACGUGCCAGCCGCCGC
rnacentral:rRNA from 1 species